AUGGAUAAUUGCAUUGGUGCAAUAGAUGGGACACACAUACAAGUUGUGGUACCACUUGCCACUGCUGCCCAGCAUAGGAAUAGACAUAAGGAGAAGAGUCAGAAUGUGAUGUGUGUGUGUGACUUUGAUAUGAGAUUCACAUUUGUCCUAGCUGGUUGGCCAGGAUCGGUGCAUGACAUGAGGGUCUUCAAUGAUGCACGAUCCAGAUUUGGUGACAAGUUUCCAAAACCACCACCUAAUAAGUUUUAUCUUGUGGACUCAGGGUACCCAAAUAGACCGGGUUAUCUUGCACCAUACAAGGGUUUAACCUAUCAUUUCCAGGAGUACCGUGAUGGCACAAUGCCUAGAGGAAAAAAGGAACACUUCAAUUUCACCCAUUCUUCACUUAGAAAUGUCAUCGAGAGGUGUUUUGGAGUCUUGAAGAACAAGUGGAGGAUUUUGUUUCACUUGCCUAGUUAUCCACAGCAGAAACAAAGCAAAAUCAUUAUGAAAACUAUGUACCAUUGUCUAUGCCAACGACCACAACAAAUGAUUCAACAAAUGAGAUGGACAGUGCUGCUAUGA
rnacentral:rRNA from 1 species